GUGACUAUCAACGAAGUAACCAGAGACAUCAUGAAGUAUCAAAUUAUUGUCUUACUUUUAGCUGCGAUGCUGCUGUUCGUAUCUUGUGAAGGAGAUGAACAAGAAACAGAACAAGGAUCAGAAGGUGAAGGUGAAGGUGAAGCUGAAGAGAGUGGAAAGGGAAAAGGAAGUAAAUGCAAUCAUAAAAAAGGAAAGAAGGGAGAUAGUUAAGAAAAGUAACCUAUCCGAUUGAAUAACUGAUGUUAAAGUUAAUUUAAUUUUCUUUUCUUUAAUUCUCCAUAAUCUAUUACUUUAAAAUAAGUAUCCGACAAUUUAAAAGCUAAUCAAUCAUAUAUGGAAUUCACGAGAAAAUCUUUAUUUAGGUUAUAUUUAUGUCAUAUUUGUGACAUAUGCAAUGUAAUUUUACGUAUGCUCAAUAAAUGCUGUUAAUUA